rnacentral:rRNA from 1 species
GACGGAGGAUCCAAGCGUUAUCCGGAAUGAUUGGGCGUAAAGCGUCCGCAGGUGGCCGUUCAAGUCUGCUGUCAAAGACCGGGGCUUAACUUCGGAAAGGCAGUGGAAACUGAACAGCUAGAGUAUGGUAGGGGCAGAGGGAAUUCCUGGUGUAGCGGUGAAAUGCGUAGAGAUCAGGAAGAACAUCGGUGGCGAAGGCGCUCUGCUGGACCAUAACUGACACUCAGGGACGAAAGCUAGGGGAGCGAAUGGG